rnacentral:sRNA from 1 species
AUGUUGGCUCCUCUCGGGCCCCGCGGUUGAGCCGCGUCCCCCUCCCCCUUCCCGGACCCUGGACCCCAGACCCCCUCCCCAGCGGGCGUCUCCACCCCUUCUGGCGCCCGGAGCGCGGCCAUGUGAACCGCUUGUACCCCGGGGAGAGACGAGCCCCGAGCCCGGCUGGACGCCGCUGCCUCAGGUUUGAAUGGGGAUGUGAAUGUUAAUGGCUUAUCUACUGUAUCUCACACUACUACUUCAGGGAUUUUGAACUCUGCUCCCCACUCCUCCAGCACCUCACACCUCCAUCACCCCAGCGUGGCCUACGACUGUCUCUGGAACUACUCACAGUACCCAUCUGCCAAUCCUGGCAGCAACCUCAAGGACCCACCCCUUCUCUCCCAGUUCUCGGGGGGACAAUACCCACUCAACGGCAUCCUUGGGGGCAGCCGGCAACCUUCAUCCCCAAGUCAUAACACUAACCUUCGGGCUGGGAGCCAA